UGAUGACAAUAAUUAGGUCUCGUAACGAUCCACAGACGCUACAUUCAUCGGCCUGCCACCACGGGUUCCGCUGCAGCGGGGAGAAGGGCUGCAACCUGACGAUAUACGACUACCUGUUUGGCUCCUUGUUCGUAUAUCCGUUCACUGGGACCCCGUGUUCAAGGGAUCCGAUAAUGUGGUGCUUUAAAGGUCAAUGCGUUAUGAAACCAUUUACUGAGGUCACCAAUGUGUUGCUUUCAACUGGCGUCAUCUCUGAAGAGGACGACGACGAUGAAACUCUCACCUUCGUUGACGUCAUUUGCGUAUAUCCGACAAAUCAAGUCGGUCAUAGCGGUACUACGAAUAUAAUAAUUGGUACUACGGGUUCUUCGGAUGAUUAUACUGGUACUUCGGCUAUAAUGAGCGAAGCAUCGUCAGUGUCCGCAUCGCAAAAUAAAGCCACCACGGUGGCGAAAACAAAGUCAACAAAGACUCCAACAGUAACUGAAAGCGUACAAACGUUGUCAACAGACGAAACGUCCUUCGCAACACUCAACAAUCCCGUAGAGACCCAAACGCACGCAUCAACAUCUCGAGUUUUCUUGAAACCGUCAACUUCAUAUUAUGAACUAGUAUCGCCAUAAAAACCAUCAAGAGCCAUUGAUACUUCUUCAUUAUAGGGCCAGGAAUCUAUCAGGUCGUCAACAUAAUUAUAAUACCAUAUAAGCUUCAACCAAAACGAUCCAUACAUUAGAUUGGUAUGGUCCAAUAUCUUCUACAACACCAAUAAAGUCUACCAAAAGUUUACCAAAAGAUAUAAAUAUUUGAGUUAACCAUGUCAUCUAAAUUGCAAUGUUGGCCGCGUUAUCAUGUGAACGUCACCUAAAACAUGUUAACAAAGUCACGAACAGCUAAGGAAUCAACGAUAACGAUAAAUAGAGCAUUCGCGUACAAAAAUACCUAAUGAAAUAGGUUGUCAAAAUGGAACAUAAUGACGUCAACGUCAGCCAUGGUUAAGUUCAAAUAUAUCUUCGGCCAAGAUAACUACAGAACAGAAAGCGAAAGUUACUUCAUCAAAUAAAAUGAGGUUAAACAGGGUACCACUUAAAAACUUAACUGCAUCAACUUUGUGUUAUCCAAAGAUAUAAUAACUAGAAACAGUAUACAUGUUACAGCAAACGGAAGAGCAUUCGGUGCUGACAGAAGAAACUACGAUGUGCAAGUCAACUCAUGAGGAGCAAACAUAUAUGUCAUUGAAAUCGGACAUGACAAUACUGCGAUAUCCAAUAUUAUCAAUAGAAAUGUUAAAACUUAUAUGUUUUGUAUUCCUUUGGUUUUUUUCUACAUUAUAUUAAAAAAUAUUAUUCUGUAAAAUUA